AGUGAACGCUGGCGGUAGGCCUAACACAUGCAAGUCGAACGGCAGCACAGUAAGAGCUUGCUCUUACGGGUGGCGAGUGGCGGACGGGUGAGGAAUACAUCGGAAUCUACUUUUUCGUGGGGGAUAACGUAGGGAAACUUACGCUAAUACCGCAUACGACCUACGGGUGAAAGCAGGGGAUCUUCGGACUUUGCGCGAUUGAAUUAGCCGAUGUCGGAUUAGCUAGUUGGCGGGGUAAAGGCCCACCAAGGCGACGAUCCGUAGCUGGUCUGAGAGGAUGAUCAGCCACACUGGAACUGAGACACGGUCCAGACUCCUACGGGAGGCAGCAGUGGGGAAUAUUGGACAAUGGGCGCAAGCCUGAUCCAGCCAUACCGCGUGGGUGAAGAAGGCCUUCGGGUUGUAAAGCCCUUUUGUUGGGAAAGAAAAGCAGCAGGUUAAUACCCCGCUGUUCUGACGGUACCCAAAGAAUAAGCACCGGCUAACUUCGUG
rnacentral:rRNA from 1 species